rnacentral:ncRNA from 1 species
ACGCCGCCCCCGGCGGCGUCCGUGGCCUGAAAAGGGCCAGCUCGCGGGGGUGGUGCCGUGUCGGCGCAGCACCACCCCCGCUUC